rnacentral:rRNA from 1 species
UACCGGAUGGUUGUUUGAACCGCAUGGUUCAAACAUAAAGUGGCUUCGGCUACCACUUACAGAUGGACCCCCGGCGCAUUAGCUAGUUGUUGAGGUAACGGCUCACCAAGGCAACGAUGCGUAGCCGACCUGAGAGGGUGAUCGGCCACACUGGGACUGAGACACGGCCCAGACUCCUACGGGAGGCAGCAGUAGGGAAUCUUCCGCAAUGGACGAAAGUCUGACGGAGCAACGCCGCGUGAGUGAUGAAGGCUUUCGGGUCGUAAAACUCUGUUGUUAGGGAAGAACAAGUACAAGAGUAACUGCUUGUACCUUGACGGUACCUAACCAGAAAGCCACGGCUAACUACGUGCCAGCAGCCGCGGUAAUACGUAGGUGGCAAGCGUUAUCCGGAAUUAUUGGGCGUAAAGCGCGCGCAGGCGGUUUCUUAAGUCUGAUGUGAAAGCCCACGGCUCAACCGUGGAGGGUCAUUGGACACCGGGGAACUUGAGUGCAGAAGAGAAAAGCGGAAUUCCACGUGUAGCGGUGAAUGCGUAGAGAUG